rnacentral:rRNA from 1 species
ACUCAAAGGAAUUGACGGGGACCCGCACAAGCAGCGGAGCAUGUGGUUUAAUUCGAAGCAACGCGAAGAACCUUACCAGGGCUUGACAUCCCCCUGACAGCCUCGUAACGGAGGCCUCCUUCGGGCAGGGGAGACAGGUGGUGCAUGGUUGUCGUCAGCUCGUGUCGUGAGAUGUUGGGUUAAGUCCCGCAACGAGCGCAACCCUUGUCAUUAGUUGCCAUCAUUAAGUUGGGCACUCUAAUGAGACUGCCGGGGAUAACUCGGAGGAAGGUGGGGAUGACGUCAAAUCAUCAUGCCCCUUAUGCCCUGGGCUACACACGUGCUACAAUGGCCGGUACAACGAGAGGCGAAGCCGCAAGGCGGAGCGAAUCUUCAAAACCGGCCCCAGUUCGGAUUGCGGGCUGCAACUCGCCCGCAUGAAGCAGGAGUUGCUAGUAAUCGCGGAUCAGCACGCCGCGGUGAAUGCGUUCCCGGGUCUUGUACACACCGCCCGU